rnacentral:lncRNA from 1 species
GGGGCAGCAGCACGUCCCGGGGCUGUCGCCGCCGCCCCAGGAGGAGGAGGAGCUGGAGCAGGAGGAGGGAAGAAAGAAAAACCUUGGCUUCUUCUGGCCCCCCAGACAGCCAGGCUGAGUCCACCAUGACGACUUUGCCACCUGUGCAGAUAGAAUACUCAAAGCUCGCCCUCUUAACAAGAAAGAGGAAGACAUGUUCCCCGUCAGGCCUCACAAAGGCCCAAUUGUUGAAAAUUAAAGGUGAGACUGAUAAGUAUCUGGAAUUGAAAUGGAAAGGGUUGACAAAAGAAGAAGCGGCUGGGUAAGCGUACCCUUCUCAUAUAAAGUUUGUUUCUUUUGUCUUGAUUCUCUGUUGAAAUUUCCAGUUCCCCU